GCGGGCGUAGUUUAAUGGUAGAACAUGAGCUUCCCAAGCUCAGAGCGCGAGUUCGAUUCUCGUCGCCCGCUCCA
rnacentral:tRNA from 29 species